rnacentral:rRNA from 1 species
AUUGAACGCUGGCGGCAGGCUUAACACAUGCAAGUCGAGCGGAGCGGCGGACGGGUGAGUAAUGCCUAGGAAUCUGCCUGGUAGUGGGGGAUAACGUCCGGAAACGGGCGCUAAUACCGCAUACUAUCAGAUGAGCCUAGGUCGGACUAGCUAGUUGGUGGGGUAAAGGCCUACCAAGGCGACGAUCGGUAACUGGUCUGAGAGGAUGAUCAGUUCCACUGGAGCUGAGACACGGUCCAGGCUCCUCCGGGAGGCAGCAGUGGGGAAUAUUGGACAAUGGGCGGAAGCCUGGUCCAGCCAUGCCGCGUGUGUGAAGAAGGUCUUCGGAUUGUAAAGCACUUUAAGUUGGGAGGCGUUACCAGCAGAAUAAGCACCGGCUAACUUCGUGCCAGCAGCCGCGGUAAUUC